GACGUAGGGGGCAAGCGUUGUCCGGAAUCAUUGGGCGUAAAGCGCUCGUAGGCGGAUCAGUAAGUCUGUGAAGAAAGACCCGGGCUCAACUCGGGGAACGGCAUGGAUACUAUUGAUCUUGAGGUAAUCAGAGGAUGAUGGAAUUCCCGGUGUAGCGGUGAAAUGCGUAGACAUCGGGAGGAACACCAGUGGCGAAGGCGGCGACCUGGACAAGUACUGACACUCAACUACGAAAGCGUGGGUAGCAAACAGG
rnacentral:rRNA from 1 species